GUCUUUAUUUCAAAUAUUUUUAAAGUCUAACCUGCCCACUGAAAAAUUAAAUGGCCGCGGUACUCUGACCGUGCAAAGGUAGCAUAAUAAUUUGUUUUUUAAUUGAAAGCUUGAAUGAAAGGUUGGACAAAAAAUAAACUGUUUUUAAUUCUAAACUUUAAUUUUACUUUUAGGUGAAAAGGCCUAAAUAAUAUUUAAAGACGAUAAGACCCUAUAAAGCUUUAUAACAUAGAUUUUUAAAAAAUUUAUAUAGUCUAAUAAUAUUUGAUUUUUUGUGUUAUUUUAUUGGGGUGAUAAGAAUAUUAAAAUAAAAAACUGUUUUUAAUAAAUCACAAAAGUAUUUGAGAGUAAAUUUAUUGAUCCUUAAAUUAAGAUUUCAAGUUUAAGUUACUUUAGGGAUAACAGCGUAAUUUUUUUUGAGAGUUCUUAUCGAAAAAAAAGUUUGCGACCUCGAUGUUGAAUUAGAAUUUCUUUAUUUGGUGCAGAAGCCAUAAAAGUAAGUCUGUUCGACUUUUAAAAUUCU
rnacentral:rRNA from 1 species